rnacentral:rRNA from 1 species
UGUUACCUACGGGGGGCAGCAGUAGGGAAUUUUCGUCAAUGGGCGCAAGCCUGAACGAGCAAUGCCGCGUGAACGAGGAAGGUCUUCGGAUCGUAAAGUUCUGUUGAAGGGGAAAAAGAGCGGAGAGAGGAAAUGAACUCCGAUUGAUAUUACCCUUCGAGGAAGUCACGGCUAACUACGUGCCAGCAGCCGCGGUAAUACGUAGGUGGCGCGCGUUAUCCGGAAUGAUUGGGCGUAAAGGGUGCGUCGGCGGCCUGCUCAGUCUGGCGUGAAAGGUACCGGCUCAACCGGUACAGG